CGCAUGCAAGUCGAACGGUAUCAGUGCAGGUAAUAAUAUCGGGUUGGUGAAGUUACGGACGGGUGAGUAACGGGUGACAACCCUACCUUAAAGAGGGGGACUACAUUCGGAGGCGGAUGCUAAUACCGCAUAAGACCACAGUGCCAGCAUGGCGUGAGGUCAUAGGAGAAAUCCGCUUUAAGAUUGGGCUCGCGUCGCAUUGCUAGUAGGUGAGGUAAUGGCCCACUAAGGCGACGAUGGGUAGCCGACCUGAGAGGGUGAUCGGCCACACUGGAACUGUGACAUGGUCCAGCACUCCUACGGGAGGCAGCAGUGGGGAAUAUUGGGCAUGGGCGAAAGCCUGACCCAGCAACGCCGCGUGAUUGCAAGAAGGUCUUCGGAUUGUAAAAAUCUGUCCUAGUGGGACGAAGAAAGUGACGGUACCAUAGGAGGAAGCCCCGGCUAACCGUGCCAGCAGCCGCGGUAAGACGUAGGGGGCGAGCGUUGUCCGGAAUUACUGGGCGUAAAGGGUGUCUAGGCGGCGCCUUAAGUCAGAUGUGUUAUAUCCAUGCUUAACGUGGAGGGUGCAUUUGAAACUGGGGUGCUUAAGUGCAGGAGAGGAAAGUGGAAUUCCUAGUGUAGCGGUGAAAUGCGUAGAUAUUAGGAGGCACUCCAGUGCGAAGGCGACUUUCUGGACUGUAACUGACGCUGAGGCACGAAAGCGUGCGGAGCAAACAGGAUUAGAUACCCUGGUAGUCCACGCCGUAAACGAUGGAUACUAGGUGUAGGGGGCGAUAGCUCUCUGUGCCGCAGCAUAACGCAAUAAGUAUCCCGCCUGGGGAGUACGAUCGCAAGGUUGAAACUCAAAGGAAUUGACGGGGGGCCGCAAAGCAGCGGAGCAUGUGGUUUAAUUCGAAGCAACCGGCGAAGAACCUUACCAAGGCUUGAAAUCCCUUGACACACAUAAUAAUAUGUGUUCCUUCGUGACAAGGAGACAGGUGGUGCAUGGUUGUACGUCAGCUCGUGUCGUGAGAUGUCGGGUUAAGUCCCGCAACGAGCGCAACCCUUAUUGCUAGUUACCAGCGCGUAAAGGCGGGAACUCUAGUGAGACUGCCGGGGACAACUCGGAGGAAGGUAUUGACGACGUCAAAUCAUCAGGCCCCUGAUGUCUUGGGCUACACACGUGCUACAAUGGCCGGUACAAAGGUUAGCGAAGCCGCAACUGAAGCGAAUCUCAAAAAGCCGGUCUCAGUUCGGAUCGUGGGCUGCAACGUGCCCACGGCAGUCGGAGUUGCUAGUAAUCGUGAAUCAGCAUGUCGCGGUGAAU
rnacentral:rRNA from 1 species